UACGGAGGGUGCAAGCGUUGUUCGGAAUUAUUGGGCGUAAAGCGCGUGUAGGUGGCUUGAUAAGUCUGAUGUGAAAGCCCAGGGCUCAACCCUGGAAGUGCAUUGGAAACUGUCGAGCUUGAGUACUGGAGGGGGAAGUGGAAUUCUCGAGUGUAGAGGUGAAAUUCGUAGAUAUUCGGAAGAACAUCAGUGGCGAAGGCGACUUCCUGGACAGAUACUGACACUGAGACGCGAAAGCGUGGGUAGCAAACAGG
rnacentral:rRNA from 1 species